CGACCAGACUCCUACGGGAGGCAGCAGUGGGGGAUAUUGCACAAUGGGGGGAACCCUGAUGCAGCGACGCCGCGUGGGUGAAGAAGCGCCUCGGCGCGUAAAGCCCUGUCAGCAGGGAAGAAAAUGACGGUACCUGAAGAAGAAGCCCCGGCUAACUACGUGCCAGCAGCCGCGGUAAUACGUAGGGGGCAAGCGUUAUCCGGAUUUACUGGGUGUAAAGGGAGCGUAGACGGCAUGGCAAGUCAGAUGUGAAAGCCCGGGGCUCAACCCCGGGACUGCAUUUGAAACUGUGCUGCUAGAGUGUCGGAGAGGCAGGCGGAAUUCCUAGUGUAGCGGUGAAAUGCGUAGAUAUUAGGAGGAACACCGGUGGCGAAGGCGGCCUGCUGGACUGCAACUGACGUUGAGGCCCGAAAGCGUGGGGAGCAAACAGGAUUAGAUACCCGAGUAAG
rnacentral:rRNA from 1 species